AACACAUGGAGUCAGGCACAUGUUUAAGAAAAUAGCAUCUUCUGUGGGCUCUUGUUGCUUUUGGGAAUACUGCAUGCGAACCGGGGCUUUGAUAAUUUCUGCAAAGCAUAGUGGCACGAGGAAAGAAGGCUGCUUGCUGACAGUAACCUACAGACAAACGAAAACCCGGGCUGUGUCCUGAGAGUUUUAGCAGCAGGCAGGCACAAGAACUCAGAAAAGAAGAAAGAGAUGGAGAAAAAUGACUCAAGAAAGAAUUGUUAGCCUGAUGGAAGAGUGAGUGGUCUCGACUCAGAAGCCCCCAGAUUUGUUUGAGAUGACAUCAUUACUUACUAACAGGACAACGUGAAUGCACCUGUUAGUGGGUGUGACUGUUUAUUCACGGAGCCCCUGGGUCCUGGACUGUCAGCUCCACGGUGCAGGAGCCAUUCAUCACGUGGGGCUACUGAGCACUUGAGAUGCAGCUACUUUACGCUUGGAUGUACUGGGAAUUUGUGGAGGCUGGGAAGUACAGAGGCAAAGUGGUGGCAUCUGGCGAACACUUUCUUUCUGCAUCAUGCCAUGAUGGAGGGAUCACACAGUGAUGGCGCACAGGACCAACAGAGCUGGUUUUUAUACCAAAGCCACUUCGCAUUAACUAACCCAGUCCUGCAAUAAACCUGCAUGAUUUAAUUACUUC